CGCCUCGCCGCCCCUCCCCGCGCCUCCGCAGCACGUGACCCGCAGCGUUGCACCGGGUCCCAAGCCGGAGUGUUGCCCUUGGGGACGUCCCAGUGAGGGCAGGGUCCCAGGGAGACGGUGUGCUGCCUGGAAGCAAUUAUUUAAGCAAACAAGUUGUGUCACCGCCCGGGGCCAGAGCUGUGGUCUCAUUAUGUUGCCCAGGCUGGUCUUGAACUCCUGGCCUCAAGCAAUCCUGCCUCAGCUUUCCAAAGGACUGGGAUUACAGGCAUGAGUCACUGCCCUGGCCUCAUCCUAUUAUUUCUUCAUAUGGACCUCUGAAUCCUCCCUGAUGGAUGUUUUCUCACUCUCCCCUUUGAUAUCACCCUCCCCACCACCACUGUAAAAUUUAGCUGUGUCCCUUUGAGGACUUUUCGUCCUGGGCUGCUGGCUCUUUGCCAUAUUAAGUCCUCUGAGGUCUGAGGUGCUCUUGGUUAUUGUCACAAAGCCUGUAAGUUUUAGUACAAUACUGGGCAUAUGGAUGGUACCCAAAAGACAUUGGCUGGACUGGAGAGCAAAGAGCUAUCCAGGCACAGCUGAAAAUGGCGGCAAAUAAAGAUGCUCUACACCAGCCAGUCUACCCUGGAGGAGUUAGAAGAGCCACUGGACCCUGGUCUUGCCUCCAGUAUAAGCUUUUGAGAUUAUUUCCAAGGGAAAAUGUACACAUUGUACUUAGUGUUACUUUAUUAAAAGUAAGCUUUAUUGUUGUGGUUGUUGUUUUGAGACAGAAUCUUGCUCUAUUGCCUAGGCUGGAGUGCCGUGGUGUGAUCUCAGCUCACUACAACCUCCACCUCCUGGGUUCAAGCAGCUCUACUGCCUCAGCCUCCCGAGUGGCUGGGACUACAGAGUCUAAAAUAAAAAUAGCACAAGACUUGGCCUCCCUUGAACACAUGUCAUCAGUGGAAAGGAAGAUCACAUUGUCUCUGGAUUUCUGGAAAGUCAGGAUUCAUUAAAGGAGGCAAUGCUUGCUUGCCCC